rnacentral:rRNA from 1 species
UACGAAGGGUGCAAGCGUUACUCGGAAUUACUGGGCGUAAAGCGCACGUAGGCGGCUUUGCAAGUUAGAGGUGAAAGCCCGGGGCUCAACCCCGGAAUUGCCUUUAAAACUGCAUCGCUAGAAUUGUGGAGAGGUAAGUGGAAUUCCGAGUGUAGAGGUGAAAUUCGUAGAUAUUCGGAAGAACACCAGUGGCGAAGGCGACUUACUGGACACAUAUUGACGCUGAGGUGCGAAAGCGUGGGGAGCAAACAGG